CCUACGGGUGGCAGCAGUGGGGAAUAUUGCACAAUGGGCGCAAGCCUGAUGCAGCCAUGCCGCGUGUGUGAAGAAGGCCUUCGGGUUGUAAAGCACUUUCAGCGGGGAGGAAGGCGGUGAGGUUAAUAACCUCAUCGAUUGACGUUACCCGCAGAAGAAGCACCGGCUAACUCCGUGCCAGCAGCCGCGGUAAUACGGAGGGUGCAAGCGUUAAUCGGAAUUACUGGGCGUAAAGCGCACGCAGGCGGUCUGUCAAGUCGGAUGUGAAAUCCCCGGGCUCAACCUGGGAACUGCAUUCGAAACGGGCAGGCUAGAGUCUUGUAGAGGGGGGUAGAAUUCCAGGUGUAGCGGUGAAAUGCGUAGAGAUCUGGAGGAAUACCGGUGGCGAAGGCGGCCCCCUGGACAAAGACUGACGCUCAGGUGCGAAAGCGUGGGGAGCAAACAGGAUUAGAUACCUUGUAGUC
rnacentral:rRNA from 1 species